UUAAUGUUGAUAAGUAUUUUUAUAUAGUAGGUGUCUCCAAAUUUUGACAUUUCUGCAGAUGAUAUUGACAAAUUCAGGUGUCUUGGGUUCUGCUUACAUUGAGGCAACUUUCUUUGCUGAAACGUCACUCCAAAUAUCACAUUCAUUCCUAUCAGAUUUUAUUGUUCAAGAUAAAUCACUUCAAACAUCAUGGCUAACUAUUACGCUGGGGAUCCAACGGUAUUAUGGAUUGUCAUAAUCGGUUUCAUCAUCUCAUUCGUGCUCGCCAUGGGUCUCGGUGCCAACGACGUCGCCAAUUCCUUCGGUACCUCUGUCGGCGCCAAGGUACUGACGCUCUACCAGGCGUGCGUGGUGGCGGCCAUCUUUGAAACCGCCGGCGCCAUACUGCUUGGCUACAGGGUGUCGGAUACAAUUCGAAAGGGAAUAUUUGACCCUCUACUCUACAAUGGAAGAGACGAGCUUCUCCUAGUUGGAAAUCUAUGUGCUUUGGCAGGCUCCUGUAUAUGGCUCUUUACUGCCACCAUUUUCAGUGUUCCCGUUUCGGCGACACACAGCAUUGUUGGCGCUUCUUUGGGCUUCCAUAUGGUAGUCUUCGGAGGAGUUGGGGUCAACUGGAAUGUCGUUGUCGUCAUUGUUAUCUCCUGGUUUCUCUCGCCCGUUCUCUCUGGUAUCAUUUCGUCUUGUAUCUAUGGCCUUCUCUAUGUCACCGUCUUGAAAAGGGACAAUCCUUUGGACUGGGGUAUUUACACUGUUCCAGUCUGGUACUUUAUUCUCAUCUUUGUCAACUUCUUUUCCAUAUUCUACGGAUCAUCACUAUUGUUCGGAUUCGAUGAGUUAUGGAUCGUUAUGGUGAUCUCAAUUGGAGGCGGAUUGGUUAUUGCUGGAUUUGGUUACUUCUUUAUCAUACCCUGGAUUAAAAAUAGAGUUACAAAAAUGAAGGAACAGGAGAAACUAGAAUUAGCUGAGGAAGGUCAGUCCCAGAAUGAUCAAGAACAAGAGACUGAAUUAAAAGAAGGUUUGCCAAAUGGAAACUGUGAUGGUGACGCCACCUCGUUAGAAAAGAAAAAUCCUGACGACCCUGACGCCAUUUUGGUCCCAGAACAUCCGAUAGCAAACGGCUUGUCUGCUGAAUUCACCAAUGGAAUGGCUAAUCCUGCUUACAAGACAUCGGAAACAGUUGAGAUGGACAUCAACUCUGAAGAUGAGGAUAGUUCCGAUAAAUGGCUCGUUAAGAAGGGCUCUAAAGAGUGGGAAUCAGUCAAAGAUUCGAUUGAAGUUCGCGCCAUUUGCUCCCCGCUGCAGGUUGUAUCAGCCUGCUUCGCCGCUUUCUCACAUGGAGGCAACGAUGUCAGUAACGCCAUCGGACCCCUGAUCAGCAUCUGGACCAUUUUUACCACCGGUUCCGUGGACCAGGAGACAAUAACCCCUGUAUGGAUUCUUCUUUACGGAGGUGCAGGCAUCUCACUCGGUCUAUUCCUAUUCGGCCGUCGCGUCAUCAAGACAAUCGGUGAAGACCUCACUCCAAUGACCCCGUCAAAUGGCUUCUGUGUCGAGCUCGGGUCAGCUUCCACGGUACUACUAGCAUCGAACCUCGGAAUCCCUAUCUCAACUACCCAUUGCCAGGUUGGUUCUGUCUGUGGUGUUGGCUGGCUGAGGACGCGAAAGGCUGUUGAUUGGCCUUUGUUCUCAGGGAUCUUCUUCGCCUGGGUGGUGACCCUCCCUGCCACCAUGAUGCUUAGUUCAGGUUUGAUGGGGUUCCUGCAGCAUGCCGUUCCUGGAAGCUGUGAACUGAUUCCUAUCCCUGUCAUGAACACUACUACAACCGCCAUGGCAUCGACCCUUGGACUGAUCUAAGUUAAUAUGCAAUAUCCUGAUGGCUGUAGAUUAUGGUCAAAAGUUCGGAGGCUUCCUGAUGGAACGAUGGUUACUCAUCUGCCAGGCUAUAGAUUCGAAACCAACUUGAUGUCCUCGCGUCUCGUUUUAUAAUAGGCCUACUGGAGGCCUACGUUCGCUACUGCCACAAUUUCGUAGGUAUUUCACACUCUAUAAUCUGCCAAUCCGGAUGAUGUAUUUUCUAUCCCCAUGGUAAUCAUAGACAUUGUCAAACUAAACUAUUCUACUGAUAUGUGAUUACAAAUCAAAUUGCCCUUCGUAGCUUUUACUUGGGGUGUCCGAAAUAUGAAAUGUAUUGCACACUUUAGUACAAGGUUAUUUUUUUAAUAUUUUAUAAAGUGUGAUUUUAUAAAGAUCAUGGCAUUGCUAAAUUAUUUAUCCUCUAAGGAUGUUUUUUUAGAACAGGGUUGUUUCCUUUUGUUGAAAAGUCCACAAGGCUUAUAAUAAGCCUCAUGUCAAAAUUCUAUCGAAAUCUAUGUCUUAAAAUGAGUCUCUCUAAAUCAUAUGCAGUAAUGUAUAUUUACUUGUUUAAAGCACAUGCAUCAAUUAAAAUAAGUACUUUCUGAAGAAAAAAACCCAUUAUCAUGAAAUGAUACAAUUUGUUAAAACUCUGAAAAUACCCCUUUUCUCUGAAUCAGUGUUUUUAUUUAGAGCAAAUCAUACAAAAAUGACUUAGUUGAAGGAUACUAUGUAAGUAGUCAAUGAAGUUGAUAAGGUACAAUUUCUUUAUUAGAUUCCAUCAUGCCCUUCAGUUGACUUCGUGUCUUUAUGAUUGUCAUGGUAAAAACACCCCUCUAAAGACUCUCUUAAACAAGUUCCGUCUAUUGGUUGUUUGCUCAUAACUAAUCCUAUUUUCAUAAGUAGCCAUGCAAUAUCUGUUAUAUUAUAUAGUAUAUGUGGAUUCGCCAU
rnacentral:misc_RNA from 1 species